rnacentral:rRNA from 1 species
AUUGAACGCUGGCGGCAGGCCUAACACAUGCAAGUCGAGCGGAUGAAGGGAGCUUGCUCCUGGAUUCAGCGGCGGACGGGUGAGUAAUGCCUAGGAAUCUGCCUGGUAGUGGGGGAUAACGUCCGGAAACGGGCGCUAAUACCGCAUACGUCCUGAGGGAGAAAGUGGGGGAUCUUCGGACCUCACGCUAUCAGAUGAGCCUAGGUCGGAUUAGCUAGUUGGUGGGGUGAAGGCCUACCAAGGCGACGAUCCGUAACUGGUCUGAGAGGAUGAUCAGUCACACUGGAACUGAGACACGGUCCAGACUCCUACGGGAGGCAGCAGUGGGGAAUAUUGGACAAUGGGCGAAAGCCUGAUCCAGCCAUGCCGCGUGUGUGAAGAAGGUCUUCGGAUUGUAAAGCACUUUAAGUUGGGAGGAAGGGCAGUAAGUUAAUACCUUGCUGUUUUGUCGUUACCAACAGAAUAAGCACCGGCUAACUUCGUG